AGCCGGUGUGGUGACGCGCAGAGUGGGACCUGGGAGAUGGGCAGGGGCGGGGCAGCUGGACGAGUGUAAGGGGCCCGGGGGCUGCUCCAGCUGUGCCCAGAGCCUCCCAGACCCCGAUUGUGAAGCCCGGGUCUAUGUGAGGGCAACACUCCCCAGACUGUAAGUCCGGCUCCCAUGUUCCGGUUCUCAUCUCCAGACCCCAACCUCUAAACCCCAGGGCCAGUUUACCUGCCUGCCCAAUGGAGUGGGCCUCACAGCCUAGAAAGGGAAACUGAGGCCGGGGAAAGCAGCUGGGGGCAGGGUAGGGGUGUACCAUACACUCAAAACUGGAUGGAGUUUGGUGGUGCACGCUUUAAUCCCAGCACUGGAGAGGCAGAGGCAGGGGACCUCUGUGGUUCCAGGACAGUCAGGACUACAUCAAAGAGACCUUGUCUGUAAAACAAAGGAGACCGGAACAAAGGCACAAGCGUGGAGCACUGUGCCUCCAAGAGCAGGCUGAGGUCCAGCUUCCCGGAGGAAGGCGUGCUGGUGCAUGCAGGAGCCCCUGCAGUUCCUCGGCAGGCUCAGGCGGACGGAGUUGGCAUGGGCUUUGAAGACUCUGGUAUCCCUGGACCAUGGAUGACCCAGGAUGGUCCUGAAGGUCCCGCGACCCCGGAGGACAGCUCUGGACACCUGGACUCAGGUCGUCACAGAACACACUGACACUGGACACCUAGUGGGGUACACCUGACAUUAGGACAAGCCACCUUCUGAAGACAGCCGCAGCGGACCACAGGGGAAGGCACGGGACGCAUGGGGGACGCAUGGGGCGGGUGGCCCAACUCUCCUGGGGGAGUGUCUCCGUGAUGUGAGAGCUGACUUCCAACAAUAGCCCGAUCUAGUGAUCCCUGAGCAUUCCUUCAUGCCCUCACCUUCCUUUUAAAGAGCUUUUGCGGGCGGUGGUGGCACACGCCUUUAAUCCCAGCACUCGGGAGGCAGAGCCAGGAGGAUCUCUGUGAGUUCGAGGCCAGCCUGGACUACAAAGUGAGUUCCAGGAA